rnacentral:sRNA from 1 species
GACAGUAGUAAUGGCAUCCUCGGGAUGAUU